GUGGGGAAUCUUGCGCAAUGGGCGAAAGCCUGACGCAGCCAUGCCGCGUGGAUGAUGAAGGUCUUAGGAUUGUAAAAUCCUUUCAUCGGUGAAGAUAAUGACUGUAGCCGGAGAAGAAGCCCCGGCUAACUUCUUGCCAGCAGCCGCGGUAAUACGAAGGGGCCAAGCGUUCCUCGAAUUUACUGGCCGUAAAGGGCGCGUAGGCGGACAUUUAAGUAAGGGGUGAAAUCCCGGGGCUCAAACUCGGAACUGCCUUUGAUACUGGGUGUCUUGAGUAUGAGAGAGGUGUGUGGAACUCCGAGUGUAGAGGUGAAAUUCGUAGAUAUUCGGAAGAACACCAGUGGCGAAGGCGACACACUGGCUCAUUACUGACGCUGAGGCGCGAAAGCGUGGGGAGCAAACAGGAUUAGAAAUCCCGGUAGUCC
rnacentral:rRNA from 1 species